CCUCGACUCUCCCAAAUCCUCCCCCGGGGUUUCCAUGGUUACGGUAAACAAGCCUCGUGGUUGCGGGAACCACAAAAGGGUGAUGGGCGCCCCUUUGUCACUGUUCCACAAGCUUCUGAAUUUUGGUAUUUCCCUCCUGAGCCCAGCUUGGUGUUCUUCUGCUUCUUUAGCUGCCUCUGGAUAGAGAAGGUAGGUGUGGGCAGAAAAGGGGAGACCUGAGACCGAGACCAGGAGAGGGGGCAGGGGUCGCUGCGGGCGCCAGGAGAAUGCAGCCACCUAUCCCCCUCUUUGCCCAGAGCCAGGGCUCUUAUCCCUGCCCCGCACCCACCCGACCAGUUCAAGCCGAGGCUCUACAUGUGUCACAGUGGGAUGUUUGUGACAUCAUGCAGUCCCCUCCCA